rnacentral:rRNA from 1 species
UACGAAGGGGGCUAGCGUUGUUCGGAAUCACUGGGCGUAAAGGGCGCGUAGGCGGCUUUGUAAGUCGGGGGUGAAAGCCUGUGGCUCAACCACAGAAUUGCCUUCGAUACUGCAUGGCUUGAGACCGGAAGAGGUUAGUGGAACUGCGAGUGUAGAGGUGAAAUUCGUAGAUAUUCGCAAGAACACCAGUGGCGAAGGCGGCUCACUGGCCCGGUACUGACGCUGAGGUGCGAAAGCGUGGGGAGCAAACAGG